GGCUCGGUAGCUUAGUUGGUAAAGCGCUCGUCUAGCAUACAAGAGUCCUGUGUUCAAAUCCCAGUCGAACAC
rfam:Aedes aegypti strain Liverpool supercont1.116 genomic scaffold, whole genome shotgun sequence.